UCCUGUGUAGCUCAAUUGGUAGAGCACCUGAUUGUUAAUCAGGGGGUUGGUGGUUCGAUUCCAUCCGUGGGAGCGA
rnacentral:tRNA from 1 species